rnacentral:rRNA from 1 species
UACAGAGGGGGCAAGCGUUGUUCGGAAUUACUGGGCGUAAAGGGCGCGUAGGCGGCCCGCUAAGUCGAACGUGAAAUCCCUCGGCUCAACUGAGGAACUGCACGGGAAACUGCCUGGCUUGAGUUCGGGAGAGGGAAGCGGAAUUCCGGGUGUAGCGGUGAAAUGCGUAGAUAUCCGGAGGAACACCGGUGGCGAAGGCGGCUUCCUGGACCGACACUGACGCUGAGGCGCGAAAGCUAGGGGAGCAAACGGG